rnacentral:rRNA from 1 species
CACGCCGUAAACGAUGUGCACUAGACUGGUGCGGUUUUGACGCCGUAUCAGUCGAAGUAAAAACGAUAAGUGCACCGCCUGGGGAGUACGGUCGCAAGGCUAAAACUCAAAGGAAUUGACGGGGGCUCACACAAGCGGUGGAGCAUGUUGCUUAAUUCGAGGCAACGCGAAGAACCUUACCUAGGCUUGACAUGCUUGGAUUAACUCCUUGAAAGAGGAGCCACACCCUCUGGGUGGAACAAGCACAGGUGC